GAUGAACGCUGGCGGCGUGCCUAAGACAUGCAAGUCGAACGAGUCGCAAGACUAGUGGCGAACGGGUGAGGAACACGUGAGAAACCUGCCCUUUAGAUGGGGAUAACCUCGAGAAAUCGAGGCUAAUACCGAAUACGAUUGCUUUCCGGCAUCGGAGAGUAAUGAAAUCAUUUAUGGCUAAAGGAUGGUCUCGCGUCUGAUUAGUUAGUUGGCGGGGUAACGGCCCACCAAGACGAUGAUCAGUAGCUGGUCUGAGAGGAUGGACAGCCACACUGGGACUGAGAUACGGCCCAGACUCCUACGGGAGGCAGCAGUCGGGAAUAUUGCACAAUGGGCGAAAGCCUGAUGCAGCGACGCCGCGUGAAGGAUGAAGCGUUUCGGCGUGUAAACUUCUGUUAGAGGGGACGAUUAUGACGGUACCCUCAGAGAAAGCACCGGCUAAAUAUGUG
rnacentral:rRNA from 1 species